GUGCCAGCCGCCGCGGUAAUACGUAGGGGGCAAGCGUUAUCCGGAAUUACUGGGCGUAAAGGGUGUCUAGGCGGCAAGGCAGGUCUUGCGUGAAAGCUCCCGGCUUAACUGGGAGAGCGCGCAGGAAACCUCCUGGCUAGAGACUCGGAGGGGGGUGUGGAAUUCCCGGUGGAGUGGUGAAAUGCGUUGAGAUCGGGAGGAACACCAGUAGCGAAGGCGGCACCCUGGCCGAGUUCUGACGCUGAAGCACGACAGCGUGGGGAGCAAACGGGAUUAGAUACCCUCGUAGUCC
rnacentral:rRNA from 1 species